GAUCCAGCAUGGCUAGUGGUUUGAGUGUUGGACUAUGACUCUGGAGACCAGGGUUCGAUUCCCUACUUGGUCA